rnacentral:rRNA from 1 species
AGUAACACGUGAGCAACCUGCCCUUGACUUCGGAAUACCAGCUGGAAACAGCUGCUAAUACCGGAUAUGACUCCGACCGUCCUCGGUCGGGGUGGAAAGCUCCGGCGGUCAGGGAUGGGCUCGCGGCCUAUCAGCUUGUUGGUGAGGUAAUGGCUCACCAAGGCUUCGACGGGUAGCCGGCCUGAGAGGGCGACCGGCCACACUGGGACUGAGAUACGGCCCAG